CAGCACAAAGGGGACCCGAAGGUCCCCUUUAAUUUGUCGUUGCCGUGCUCUUUUUUUAUUAUUGAGGGGCGGUCUGUUGUUGUUUUUGUCAACCGUGGCCCUUUACCGCUAUUUUUUUGGCGAUCCCCAUCCGGGAUCAAGAGCAAACGUAUUUUUUUGAGCGCUGAUCUGCUUUUUCGCACACGAUCCAACCAGUGGGUAGCUACCUUGGGGUAGUU
rnacentral:misc_RNA from 1 species